AGGAUUAGAUACCCUGGUAGUCCACGCCGUAAACGAUGCAUACUCGCUGUAGGUACGUUAUAGUAUCUGUGGCCAAGCGAAAGUCAUAAGUAUGCCACCUGGGGAGUACGUCGGCAACGAUGAAACUCAAAGGAAUUGACGGGGGCCCGCACAAGCGGAGGAACAUGUGGUUUAAUUCGAUGAUACGCGAGGAACCUUACCUGGGCUUAAAUGGAGAUUGCAUAAAGCAGAGAUGCUUUUUUCUUCGGACUAUCUUCAAGGUGCUGCAUGGUUGUCGUCAGCUCGUGCCGUGAGGUGUCGGGUUAAGUCCCAUAACGAGCGCAACCCCUACCGUUAGUUACCAGCAUGUUAUGAUGGGGACUCUAGCGGGACUGCCGGUGUAAACCGCGAGGAAGGUGGGGAUGACGUCAAAUCAGCACGGCCCUUACGCCCAGGGCUACACACGUGUUACAAUGGCCGGUACAGAGGGCAGCUACCUGGUAACAGGAUGCGAAUCUCGAAAGCCGGUCCCAGUUCGGAUCGGAGUCUGCAACCCGACUCCGUGAAGUUGGAUUCGCUAGUAAUCGCGCAUCAGCCAUGGCGCGGUGAAUACGUUCCCGGGCCUUGUACACACCGCCCGUCAAGCCAUGGAAGCCGAGGGUACCUAAAGUCCGUAACCGUAAGGAGCGGCCUAGGGUAAA
rnacentral:rRNA from 1 species